rnacentral:rRNA from 1 species
UACGUAGGUGGCAAGCGUUGUCCGGAUUUACUGGGCGUAAAGGGCGUGCAGGCGGUUUGUUAAGUGCAGGGUGAAAGCUCCCGGCUCAACUGGGAGAGGUCCUUGCAUACUGGCGAACUCGAGGGAGGCAGAGGAAAGUGGAAUUCCCGGUGUAGUGGUGAUAUGCGCAGAUAUCGGGAGGAACACCUGUGGCGAAAGCGGCGCACUGGACCACAACUGACGCUGAGGCGCGAAAGCUAGGGGAGCAAACAGG